rnacentral:snoRNA from 1 species
AUCCUCCAAUUUUCUGACCUAUUAAUCUAAAUAUUUGUCUGAGCGGUUACAAAAGGAGGAAAAGUAAAAUUGAAACUGACUUCAAUUUUUGUGACACAUGGGCUAGUUUCAAACAAUA